CUCAUUUAUUGAUCUUCUUUAAAUAUAUUUACUCUUAUGAAAGUGCAGGUUAUUACAAUAAUCCUACCAAUGUUUUUAUCUGUUUACAAUUUAUCUGUAAAUAUUCAAUAAACCAUUUACAUUCUUUUAGAAUUAAAAAAAUUGUUAUCUUGAUUUCUUAUUCUUCCGGUAAAUUUUGCUAUGUCUGCCACACAGAACCAUUUCCAGACCCUCCACGUGUUCCUAUUUUCCAGCGACAGUAGUCUUAAAUUUACAGAAGCCUUCCUGGUUUGUGGUUUGAUCCUGGAAUGUCCUGCUUUUCCUUAGGAGGUCCCUGUUUUCACCAGCGAAAUAUUGGAGGGUAUGGAGUUAUGUGGCCCCUGAGCCAAGGAGAUAAAUAACUACACAACCUUUAGAAGACAUCUGAAGGCAGCCCCCUUAUAGGGAAGUUUUGAAAUGUGUACAUUAUGUUUUUAUAUAUGUUGGGAGCCACCCAGAGUGGCUGAGGCAACCCAGUCACUUGGGCAGGGUAUAAAGAAUAAAAUUACUACUACUAUGGGAAUAAGAUGUCCCUAUUUUGAUCGGAUAAAUGUUGGAGGGUUUGCGUUCCACGCUGCAACAUGAUGUUGCGGAUCCCACGUGCCUGAUGUAAUAGUCCUUCUGCCAAGAGAACCCUGAGAACUUCCAUUCUCUAAGGGAAACUGGAGGUCUUUAAUAGAGAAUUCUCAACACAUUAAACACACUACAGUUCCUCAUAUUCUUUAGGCGAGGUCAUGGUGGAAACACUGGCAUGAACCUGGUGUAAACUGCAUUGUAGGAGUGCUUUCAGCGCGGCAGAUUUCUAAUUGAAAUGAACGAGCCUGUUCCACAGUAUCUGUUAGUUAGCGCGUUCACCGCCAUCCUUGCAAGAAACUGGCAGCGGAAAUGACUUCAGAGGAGAACAAAGAAAUAUAAAGCAUGCGUACGUGAAAAGGAAUAUGCAAGGGACAUUAAAAACUGCACCACAUGCCGAAUUGCCCACCUCACCCCAGCCUGCACUUUGACAAAACUUAAAUAAGCCUUGUCAAGCCCUUCUGAGGUAGGCAGGCAUGUUUUGCCCUUCCAACUCAUUACAAAGCAUCCUAAUCUUUUGUCGAUUCAGCAAUUGACACACAAAGCAACGCUGUCUCUUCCCUUAAGAAAGCAAAGGGAAAGUACCUGUGGAUAUGUGUGCUAAUAUAUAUAGGAAGUUCCAAUAAAAGGCUUUCUGCAAAUACAUGGUUUAUACAAUACAGCUUGCUUAAUAUUUCCAGGAAGAGGUUAUUAGGGGUGGGAGGGGGUGGGGAGAGAUCAUUUAUCAAAUCAUUAAUAUGUAUUUAGGUAAUAAAGGCAACGGGGCAAAACUCACCAAACAGUGCCACCUGCUGGAGGCCGCUUGCUACUACCUCAUGAACUCAUUGCCUAUGUCGCUCGUUUACCUUGCCGGCUUAAAUAUAUAUUAUUUGCCGGCGCAGUUCUAGGGCUGGGCCUGCGACUAAAAUGGUUUGAAACGCAAACGGUGUGCGUGCAAAGUGCCUGCCCCCUCCCGGGGGGGGGGGGACACACAACAAUUUUGUCUGAUUGCUCCUGCAAUUUGUUCUCUCUCUCCCUCCCUCCCCCCCCCUCUCUCUCUGGUCCUCUGUGCAAUUUUGACCCAGUAAGAGUGAUGUCCCCCUGUUGCCUAGGCAACAGAGUGAUGCUCACUCUCUUCCCACAAUGGCUGCAGCCUCACGACACUGCCCAGGGAGAGUGCGAGCAUUGUCCAGUUGCCUAGGCAACUUGGGGACAUGCUUUCUUCCCCCUACCCCUAGCACAGUGGGCAGACUCUACCUAGUUUCAUGGAACAUCCUCACAGCACUGGCAGGUGGAGACAAUGUUCAACUCUGCAGUUCAGAAACAAAGCUGAAAAGUUACACAGGCUGUAGGUGGAAAUCUUCCUCUCCCAGAGGGCCUUUUCUGCAUGCUGUGAACAAUGAAUUGUCCCAUUUACAGUGGGACUUCAGGUUACAUACGCUUCAGGUUACAGACUCCACUAACCCAGAAAUAGUGCUUCAGGUUUUAAACAAAAUCUUGCCAUUGGUGAAGCAGCUGGUUUUAAAAAUAAGACAUAAUGUUUGGGGCAUAUGCCAUGUAAAACUGGAUAUAAUUCUUUUCAGAAACUUGAAGAUAAUACAAUACAGUGGUACCUCAGGUUACAUACACUUCAGGUUACAGACUCCGCUAACCCAGAAAUAUUACCUUGGGUUAAGAACUUUGCUUCAGGAUGAGAAGAGAAAUCGUGCUCCGGCGGUGCGGCGGCAGCAGGAGGCCCCAUUAGCUAAAGUGGUGCUUCAGGUUAAGAACAGUUUCAGGUUAAGAACAGAACUCCUGAACGAAUUAAGUACUUAACCCAAGGUACCACUGUACUCUUUUUUUGCACUGAGAACUUUGCUUCUCUUCUAUUGAAACUGUGAUUUCAGGCUUCGAUCAAUUCUAUUUUCAAGUUGUUUUAUGAUGUAUUGUUUUAUUGCUGUUGGUGGGAGUAGGUCAGUAGGUUGAUAGUAUUUCAGACUGCAACCUCCCCCCUCUGAGUUGCUUUGAAAAUUAAGUGAAAUGUAUAGUUAUAUAUUGAAAAAGAACCUUUUUUAUUGUUAUUUUAUGUUUAUGGUGUAUAAUCUUUAGGAUACUUUAACUGGAAAAGCAGACAAUAAGAUAAUGGUAUCGGGGCCAUGGCAUACUUUAAAUAACUAUAUGUGAUUAUUAUCAUUAUUACUAAGCAAAUAAAAACAUUUGUUGCUCACAAUGCCACCUUCUAAUUUUGCUAACAGAUACACGGUGUGGCCAAAGCCACACAUUCAAAACCUGGUGUAGAAGAAGCCUAUUUUAUACAUUUUCCACACCUGUAGCAUUUUAAUAUGAUUGUUUUGUCAUGUUUAUUUUAAUGUUUCCGGAACUGGUUUUUAUAUUCCGUAAACUGCUUAAAAGCCUAUAAGGUAUUUGUUAUUGUGUGCUUUAAUUAUAUAUUGAUUUUAUAGUUAAACCAGUAAGGAGCCAUUUUGGAAUGUAAAUUAAGUAUAAAUUAAUAUAUUAUUAUCCUCAUCAAUCACCAUCAUCACAACACAGAAGCAAAAAUAAAUGACAAUACUGAUAAUUCAAAUGAACAGAGGUAAAUCCUCAAGCAAUUUGCCUGCAGUCAACCACUUGACAAAAAUAGGACAAUGCUUACUUCAAAUGGUGCUGAUAGGAAAGGAGCUGGUUAUUUCAGUCCAUUGCCAUGAAACCCUUCUUCAUUAAAGUUGGGGCAUAUCAUUUUUAUAGAAGUUUAACUGUUGUGUCUUCCCCCAAAGAGUCUAGGAAAUUGCAGUUUGACGGGAGUGUGGUGAAUUCUCUCUUAGGCAAUUCCUGUUCCCCCUACAGAAUUACACGUCAGAGAAUUCCCUGAGGGAACAACGAUAGAAGCAAUUUAAAAAUGGCCUUUCUGUCCAGGAAUUAGAAGACAACAGCACCACGGCUCAUGAUGAGCUGUCCGUUCUGCUUUCCCAUAGUUUCUUUUACAUCGAGUGUGCCAUUGUAAGUCAGGAUUUGCUUGGCAUUAUAUACAUGCCCCAUAUCAUCGGAUUUCAGGACAGUUUGAAAGCACACAAAACACAAGACCAGUUAGGACUGGUCAGUUAGAUCCAUCAGUUCUCCCACCUGAUGAAACAGUGGCUGGUCCUAAGGAAGGGAGAACAACUUCCCUUUAGUUGCUAGGCAACCAGAAUGGCCUUGGCGGCCAUGUUGGGAUGCUUGUCAAGAUGGCUGGACCGGGGCUGAAAAGCAGUAAUGGUGGAGGUCCCCAAAAGCAACAACAAGCACACAUAGGCUCAAACUAUGGAGUUAUGUUGGCUGGGCGUGUUCCUUCAUGGUGGUUUUGUUUCUGAACCAAAACUAGCCCUAGACUGGCUACAGGACAGGAAGGGUGUAUGGAAAAGGCUACUGAAGCCCUUCUUAUUUAGUCCAUUUUCAUCUCUUUCUCUAUAUGUUAUUCACCUACCUGAGAAAUGAUGCAGAGCCCCGUAUCUCCCCACUGCUGUUCAUCCUGCAAGUAAAGAAGUUUUAGGAAUGAUUCUGAGCUGGGAAAUUACCAGGUCUUCCCUAACCUCCCAUCUCUCACCCAGCCACAGGCUGCUUUGGGUUUGAAUUAUAUCGGAGGAAGGAAUUAUGGAAAUGCACAUAGGGUGCCAUUUUAGCCACAAUUUGUGCUGGUCAGCUCUGGUACGUGGUCAUGUGCAUGAACCAACCCUGGGCUGACUUGUAUACAUCACUGAUUUUCCAACAGGUGACUCAGGAUCCCACCAAGUUUUUCCAUCAUUCUUUGCUCACACAGCCACACCACUUUAACAUCUGUAAAAGUGG
rnacentral:lncRNA from 1 species